UGGGGAAUAUUGCGCAAUGGGGGAAACCCUGACGCAGCAACGCCGCGUGAAGGAUGAAGGUUUUCGGAUUGUAAACUUCUUUGAUGAGGGACGAACACAAUGACGGUACCUCAAAAACAAGCCACGGCUAACUACGUGCCAGCAGCCGCGGUAAUACGUAGGUGGCGAGCGUUGUCCGGAAUUACUGGGUGUAAAGGGCGUGUAGGCGGGAAAGCAAGUCAGAUGUGAAAUACCGGGGCUUAACUCCGGGGCUGCAUCUGAAACUGUUUUUCUUGAGUGUCGGAGAGGAAAGCGGAAUUCCUAGUGUAGCGGUGAAAUGCGUAGAUAUUAGGAGGAACACCAGUGGCGAAGGCGGCUUUCUGGACGACAACUGACGCUGAGGCGCGAAAGCGUGGGGAGCAAACAGG
rnacentral:rRNA from 2 species